rnacentral:rRNA from 1 species
AUUGAACGCUGGCGGCAUGCUUUACACAUGCAAGUCGAACGGCAGCGCGGGGGCAACCCUGGCGGCGAGUGGCGAACGGGUGAGUAAUGCAUCGGAACGAAUCCUGUAAUGGGGGAUAACGUAGCGAAAGUUACGCUAAUACCGCAUACGCUCGAGAGAGGAAAGUGGGGAUCGCAAGACCUCACGUUAUAGGAGCGGCCGAUGUCCGAUUAGCUAGUUGGUGGGGUAAAGGCCUACCAAGGCGACGAUCGGUAGCUGGUCUGAGAGGAUGAUCAGCCACACUGGGACUGAGACACGGCCCAGACUCCUACGGGAGGCAGCAGUGGGAAUUUUGGACAAGUGGGCGAAAGCCCUGAUCCAGCCAUGCCGCGUGCGGAAGAGGCCUU